rnacentral:rRNA from 1 species
CCUACGGGUGGCAGCAGUGGGGAAUAUUGGGCAAUGGGCGAAAGCCUGACCCAGCAACGCCGCGUGAAGGAAGAAGGCUCUAGGGUUGUAAAACUCUUUUGACAGGGAAGAGCAGAAGACGGUACCUGUCGAAUAAGCCACGGCUAACUACGGGCCAGCAGCCGCGGUAAUACGUAGGGGGCAAGCGUUCUCCGGAUUUACUGGGUGUAAAGGGCGUGUAGCCGGGCUGACAAGUCAGAUGUGAAAUCCUGGGGCUCAACCCCCGAACUGCAUUUGAAACUGUGUGUCGUGAGUAUCGGAGAGGCAGGCGGAAUUCCUAGUGUAGCGGUGAAAUGCGUAGAGAUUAGGAAGAACACCAGUGGCGAAGGCGGCCUACUGGACGACAACUGACGGUGAGGCGCGAAAGCGUGGGGAGCAAACAGGAUUAGAUACCCGGGUAGUC